ensembl:lncRNA
GUUUUACAGGAGUUUUAGAGGGGUUUUAGAGGAGUUUUAGAGGUGUUUUAGAGGUGUUUUAGAGGAGUUUUAGAGGAGUUUUAGAGGGGUUUUAGAGGGGUUUUGGAGGAGUUUUAGAGGGGUUUUAGAGGAGUUUUAGAGGUGUUUUAGAGGUGUUUUAGAGGGGUUUUAGAGGAGUUUUAGAGGAGUUUUAGAGGUGUUUUAGAGGUGUUUUAGAGGAGUUUUAGAGGUGUUUUAGAGGAGUUUUAGAGGUGUUUUAGAGGGGUUUUAGAGGAGUUUUGGAGGAGUUUUAGAGGUGUUUUAGAGGUGUUUUAGAGGUGUUUUGGAGGAGUUUUAGAGGUGUUUUAGAGGGGUUUUAGAGGAGUUUUGGAGGGGUUUU